rnacentral:lncRNA from 1 species
GGCUGAAAGACAGAAAAGAUUGGGGUAUCAGUGCUCUCAAACAAGUUUCUUUGUCGAAGGCCCUCUUGUUGGGGUGGAGGACCCUCCAACUGCAGCUUUGGUGGAGAAGUGAAUGGCAUCCUGCUCGCUUAUUUGACCUGCGAUCCUGCGUGUCAGCCUCUGCUCGCUCUGAUGGAGAGGGUUUAAGAUUGCCAGCAAACCAUGAGAAGCUAGGAGAAAGGAAUGGAACCGCUUCUCCUUCACAUUCCUCAGAAGGAACCAACCCUGCAGACACCUUGAUCUUGGACUUCAAGCCUCCAGAACUAGCAAAGGCUGUGUGAAGAAAUGGCGAGAAG